AAAACACUGAUUUAUGAAGACGGACUGGGUAGAAAAAGCUC
rnacentral:sRNA from 1 species